rnacentral:tRNA from 1 species
GCCUGGUGGCUCAGUCAGUUGAGCGUCUGACUUCAGCUCAGGUCAUGAUCUCGCGGUCCGUGAGUUCGAGCCCCGCAUCGGGCU